rnacentral:misc_RNA from 1 species
UGAAAAGUACUUCAAGAAUGAAUUUGACAUUAAAUGGCAAUAAAGUUAUCUGGAAAAACGGGUAUUGUACAUAAAUGAACAGUCAAUUAAUGGCAUUAAAUGUUUUUUCUUCAUAUUUUCAUGAUUUCCUCGAUCUCUUUUCACAUUUGCAUUAUGUAUUCUUAAUCGUAAGAAAUGCAUUUGUCCGUGAGGAAAACUUGCUGUGAGACGUGUGAAUAUGUUUGUUAUUGUUUGUAAAUAUGUCGGCCUUGUUCAUUUUCAUAUUCUGUUACAUAUUUCAUGUUUAAUUGUCAUCACAUUUUGUGCUCUAUGAUUGUGAUGGGCUAAUUUUUUCACUAAUCAUGACGGUUAUACAUUUUAUUUUUGCGAAUAAAAAUGUCUUUUUCC